rnacentral:rRNA from 1 species
CCUACGGGAGGCUGCAGUGGGGAAUAUUGGACAAUGGGCGAAAGCCUGAUCCAGCCAUGCCGCGUGUGUGAAGAAGGCCUUCGGGUUGUAAGGCACUUUCAGUGGGGAAGAAAGCCUUGGGGCUAAUACCCUCGAGGAAGGACAUCACCCACAGAAGAAGCACCGGCUAACUCCGUGCCAGCAGCCGCGGUAAUACGGAGGGUGCGAGCGUUAAUCGGAAUUACUGGGCGUAAAGCGCGCGUAGGCGGUCUGAUAAGCCGGUUGUGAAAGCCCCGGGCUCAACCUGGGAACGGCAUCCGGAACUGCCAGGCUAGAGUGCAGGAGAGGAAGGUAGAAUUCCCGGUGUAGCGGUGAAAUGCGUAGAGAUCGGGAGGAAUACCAGUGGCGAAGGCGGCCUUCUGGACUGACACUGACGCUGAGGUGCGAAAGCGUGGGUAGCAAACAGGAUUAGAUACCCCUGUAGUC